rnacentral:rRNA from 1 species
GUAAAGCGUCCGCAGGCGGCUUUUCAAGUCUGCUGUUAAAGCGUGGAGCUUAACUCCAUCAUGGCAGUGGAAACUGAAAGGCUUGAGUAUGGUAGGGGCAGAGGGAAUUCCCGGUGUAGCGGUGAAAUGCGUAGAUAUCGGGAAGAACACCAGUGGCGAAGGCGCUCUGCUGGGCCAUUACUGACGCUCAUGGACGAAAGCCAGGGGAGCGAAAGGGAUUAGAUACCCCUGUAGUCCUGGCCGUAAACGAUGAACACUAGGUGUCGGGGGAAUCGACCCCUUCGGUGUCGUAGCUAACGCGUUAAGUGUUCCGCCUGGGGAGUACGCACGCAAGUGUGAAACUCAAAGGAAUUGACGGGGGCCCGCACAAGCGGUGGAGUAUGUGGUUUAAUUCGAUGCAACGCGAAGAACCUUACCAGGGUUUGACAUCCUGCGAACCUCUUAGAAAUUUGAGGGUGCCUUCGGGAAUGCAGUGACAGGUGGUGCAUGGCUGUCGUCAGCUCGUGUCGUGAGAUGUUGGGUUAAGUCCCGCAACGAGCGCAACCCACGUUUUUAGUUGCCAGCAUUUAGUUGGGCACUCUAGAAAGACCGCCGGUGAUAAACCGGAGGAAGGUGUGGAUGACGUCAAGUCAUCAUGCCCCUUACACCCUGGGCUACACACGUACUACAAUGCUACGGACAAAGGGCAGCAAACUCGCGAGAGCUAGCAAAUCCCAUAAACCGUGGCUCAGUUCAGAUCGUAGGCUGCAACUCGCCUACGUGAAGUAGGAAUCGCUAGUAAUCGCAGGUCAGCAUACUGCGGUGAAUACGUUCCCGGGCCUUGUACACACCGCCCGUCACACCAUGGAAGUUGGCCAUGCCCGAAGUCGUUACUCCAACCCUUGUGGAGGAGGACGCCGAAGGUGGGGCUAAUGACUGGGGUGAAGUCGUAACAAGGUAGCCGUA